AAUCUCAGUUCAGACUGCAGGCUGCAACUCGCCUGCACGAAGUCGGAAUUGCUAGUAAUCGUAGGUCAGCAUACUACGGCGAAUACGUUCCCGGGCCUUGUACACACCGCCCGUCAAACCAUGAGAGUUGGCAACACCCGAAGUCGGUAGUCUAACCGCAAGGAGGACGCCGCCGAAGGUGGGGUUGAUGAUUAGGGUUAAGUCGUAACAAGGUACC
rnacentral:rRNA from 1 species